UACAGAGGGUGCAAGCGUUAAUCGGAAUUACUGGGCGUAAAGCGUGCGUAGUCGGUUAUUCAAGUCGGGCGUGAAAGCCCCGGGCUCAACCUGGGAAUUGCGUCCGAUACUGUCUAGCUAGAGUUCGGCAGAGGGAAGUGGAAUUUCAGGUGUAGCGGUGAAAUGCGUAGAUAUCUGAAGGAACAUCAGUGGCGAAAGCGACUUCCUGGACCAGAACUGACGAUCAGGCACGAAAGCGUGGGGAGCAAACAGG
rnacentral:rRNA from 1 species